GGACUGGUUAGCUCAGUUGGUUGGGUGUGGUGCUGAUAACACCAAGGUCGCGGGUUCGAUUCCUGUUUGGUCCC
rnacentral:tRNA from 1 species